CUUUCCCAAUUUCGUUUAGUUCUUUUGUUUUUUCAAUGAAACUAAUUUCAUUUGGUUUCUUUAUCAAUAAUAAGCCUUAUAUUCCUUUUCAAAUUUAAAAUGUGAGAUUUCCUUUCUAUAAUCUCUCUCUCUCAAUCGACUCUCCUCCUUUCUCUUUCUUCUUUGUCAAUAAUAAAUCUUUUGUUUCUUUUACAAAUUUAAGAUAUGAGAUCUCCUUUCUACAAUCAGUCUCUCUCACUUGAUCGACUCUUCUCCUUCCUCUCCUUUCACUCUCAUAGAAGAAUAAUCAUGGAGAUCAGUGAUUAGCUUUCCUACUCUUUCCUAGAGUCUCUAUGGUGCUGCGAACAUGGCGUCUCUGGAUAGUGGACAUUGAUAGUAACAUGAUUCCUUUUGAUGAGGGUUCGAGUGACCCUACCUCUUUUUCUUCAACCAAGAGGCUCAAACAGUUCAACGAAUCUCCAAGGAAGACCGAAAGAAGAGGGAUUUAUGUUUUAUUUUUGGACCUGUUUCUCUCUGCAAUCAACAGACGCUCCCAUUGAUAUCCUCGAAGUUGUAGCAUACAUCCCAAGGCCAUAAGAAAAUGAUGGUUGAGCAUCCCAAGUUAGAUGGUUUUCUUUAGUUCCUAUCCUGAUGUCCUGAUGAGAGACGCUGAUGGAUUUGAAGAAGCAUUGGCUCCAACAAAGAAAUAGUCCCCAUCUACUAUUCGAAAGUUAAGACUUUUUCCAUUGCAUUGUUUUUGCUUUGAAGAAGAUAUCAACCUGGUACGAUUGGACCAACAUCAUGUGCUCUUAUUAUUGAUAUGCCUAUAACUAUUGUCGAGCAAAGCGAUGGCUAGUGCCAUGUUUUAUUGAUAAUGGUUGAUGGGAAGGUAACUUUUUGUUUGGUCCAAUUCCCAUUUUGAGUAUAAUGAAGAAAUACUAUUUGGUAGAAUUUUUAUUUUUGCUUCAACUUUGAUCAUGAGUACAUGAUGUUAUGUUCAUAAGCUACUAUGCCAUAUUUUGGUUCCGCCGCUACAUUGUAUGUAUGAUAGGAUUCACUAUUUUACUUUCCUACACUUAUCAUACUUCAGUUAUUGUGUAAUGCAUUGCUUUUGAGAGUGAUUAAUUUGCAUGUAAAUUUUAAUCACACGAUUUCUCUCUCCCUCUCUCUCUCUCUCUCUCUCUCUCUCUCUCUCUCAUAUAGACGCAAAAACCCACACGUUUUUGUGGGUUUUAUCGGUAAAAUUCCAAUCUAUCUUAAUAAAUUAAAAUAUAGCUUUUAACGAACCAAUACUAAACUGUACUAAAAAAUAUCCAAAUUAUUAUAAAUAUAUAGGUCUCUACCCUGUCACAAUUAAACUGUUUCACAAUCUUCAUCACUCUUUUUUUUAUUUUAUUCACUUGAAGGGGAAAAAAAAAAAGUUCACAAACAAAUGGAAAAGAAGAAGAGGUACAAACAAUCCUGUCAGGAAGUCGAUACAACUGAUGUCAACUUUUUUUUGUGGUUUCGCAAUAGCAUUUACAUGACGAUGACAUCUUGCAGUGGCAAUCUUUUAGGUAGAUGAGGGCAUGCCAAUGUACGGGAGGAAUCUUAUUUCUUCAUAAUUUUUGUGAUGUAGUCCAUAAAAUUUUGUUAGAAAAUCAACUCAAAAGAAGUUCUAGAUAGAGGAUUCAGGACUUUUAGGUUAUUUCGUAUUUUCUAGCCUUUUGUUUUUUUUUAAAGUAAGAGUAUCAAACUUGGAUAUAUGUGGCUUGCUUCAAAUUCUUAACAUGCAUGGUGUUGGUAUUUCUUAUGUAA